GUCAGUAGUUUGGCUCUGUAUAUAUAGCCUAUACAUCUACACAGCGCAGACUCCGAUCCACAAGGACUGCACUCUCUCCGGAUUUUGCUGAAAUCCCCGUUGCCUAAAAGGAGGGAGAUACGGCUGCGGCUCGCGGAUUGGCUACUCGGAGCCUGUCAGAACCGGAGGAGGCAGGGAAGAAAGGCACAGUGUUGUGUGCGUGUGUGUAUGUGUGUUUGGCGUCCGUCUGGAAAGUGGAGCAGCAGCAGCAGCACAUAACAAUUUCUGCUGCUGAAAUGACCUAACUGAACACCGCGGUUACAGGGGGGGAGACCCGCCAGUCCGCACACAACUCCGCGGGAUAUCGAUCCGGACGCUACACCGAUCCUAACAAGUCAUUGGCCUUAUUUUUCCUCGGAAACUGCCGCAUUUCUUCUCUUUUUCUUGGGGACUGUCACUGUCUGCCCGCGUGUCUGUGCGUGUGUGUGCAGCCGUAACAACAGACACUUGUAUGGGGGUAGGAGCGGUCUACUCUGAGCGCAUAGGACUCCGCCGAGGAUGCAUGGCCCCGAGUCGAUGCAGUCACUCAUCUCACGGAGAUAAAUAAAGAAAAGCUUUUAUCGGGAGGGAGGGAGGGCGGGAGGGAAGGGGGUUGGCUUACGCGAAACAACACAUUUGAUACGCUGUCGGCGUUAGCUUGGGCUAACACAGCUGAGGCCGGGUUUGUUGACGGCGGAUCCGGGGCUUCUGACGUGUCUGUGUGAGAACUAAGUCGCAGAAGUAUAAGGCGACGUGUGGGACCGGUUCGUCUGGACACGGGCUGGACUGCGAUCUGUUUCCGCCUUGCAUGCAUUUUGUACACGGCUGGAGGAACUAGUCGGAAAUCGCCUUCUUUCUUUAGGAGAUUUCCUCUUUUCUGGACUCUCGACGCCUGGAGAUCUGUUUCUGCAUCAGGGCCAUGCAUCGCCACGCCCACCAGCAGCUGCUGCCCACCUAGAGGCUCCGCCCUUCUCCCCCUCUCCCCCCCACCCCGCCCCCCCCACCCCUCCCCCAGGCUCGCUCGGCGCUCGCUAGGGUCCGCCGCCUGGAGGAUGCUUGGAAUGUGUCGCGGGCGCAGGAAGUUUCUGCUGGCCACCGUCGCCCUGCUCUUCAUCCCCGCCCUCACCUGGCUCUACCUCACGGCCGGGAACUUCCAAGGUGAGUUGAUGUUGACGUUGACGCGGGCCCUGAUUGGGUCGUUUGCGGGGGUCGGUAUUCCGCAGAGCAGUCACGCUGACCAGUUCUGACUGGUUUUACGUUUGCAUAAAACCAGUCACAACUGGUUUAGCCUCAAAGUAGCCUCUCUUAAAGGGCCCCUAGUCUACCAACAGUUGUGAUGUUUGAGCCAUUACGAACCGUUUCAAAAUCCUCCCGUUAUUGACUCCACUGGUGAAAUGAUGAGACAUUUUGAGCUGUUUCAAAACGUACCCGUUAGUGACAUCACAAGUGGGACCAUGCACACAGCCAGUAGGAUGGAUGGAUCAACCUACCACACUGUCUGGUGGACGGGCUGAUGGCAACCAGCCUGUCGUACCAACUGGCACGUGUGGUUAUUUACUAUUCACCCGCAAUUGAAGCGCAAAUAAUGUGCACCGUGGUAUUUGGCAGUGUGAGCGUUCACGGUUAGAAUCGGGGCUCAUAAUUGCUAAUCAACAUCCCACCCGGUGGUCGUUCAUUUUAUUUGCCCACCUGGUGCUCGCAACGGCGUUGAUAAGCCACGGCGGCGAGCCACUAAGCGGUGAUGUGUGUGCUGGGAUAACACCAAAGGAUUCGCCUCCCUGGUGGAAUUUGGCUUAAUCUUUUCAGUCGUUCAUCAAGAAGUACUUUCUAGUACUGCAACUUUCUUUCCCAACUGGCACGUCUGGUGGUGCAACACGGGCCCGUUGACGCCCCGAAAAUGUCACCAAGUAUAAUGUUUGUUGAGAUAUUUGUGGGACAGUGUGAAGAUUUCCGUUUUGGAAAAGAUUUAUGCACAACAUUAUAAGUCAGUGAGGAAGCACUUGAUUGUGCCUGCCGUGUUUCGAUGCAGUGAUUCCACAACAUAUCGGGGCUGCCUUCCAGCCAAACUAUUGCCGCCAGUCUUUUGACAUGACCUGUCAUUGACACGGACGCGCUCCACCGCACACACUGACAGCAGCGUUCUGGAUCUCCCGGUUUGGUUUUUCCACCAAAACAAUGUGUUAACAGCGGAAUAUCCUCUCUCUGGCACACCGCCAAACUGCUGUGUGUGGGGGGGGAGAAUUUUCUGCACGAAUGUCGUCGAUAUCAAUGUGUAAAGUAUUGAAGGAAGACCAAUUAUAAGUGCCUGUCAACUCAACAUUUUCUUUGUUUCUAUCCAUGUUGAUUCGAUGUCUGCUGAACCCAGUCCCUCAAAAUAUCUUUAAACCAGUAGAGGGAAAGUCCCGAAGAUUAAAAGACAUGAAUUUUAUACGUUAAAUAAGUAUUCAUAUAAAACAUUGAGGCUUUGUUAACGCUAUCGACAGAAUUUGAAUUUCACAAAAUGGCGUCCGUAGAAGUAUAUAUUUUUAAAUGAAACCCUAGGCAUAGUUAUACAAAUGAUAGUCAUUUUAUUCACCUUGCCUCGAUGGAAAGUCAGUUUCUCCUUUUUUUUUAUUAAUUUUUUUUGCUCCACGAUAAGAAGAACUCCCAGAAUAGCCUGGCUGGUUAUUUUCUUCCGAGGUGAAGGACUAAAUGAACUACUGGGGCCUGCCUGAAGUUGAUUACUUCGAGUCGUUCUGUCUUUUCUCUUUCCUUGCCUCGGCGCACUCUCAAAGCUAAUUUAAAAUGACUUUGUUUUGAAGAGACUGACAUUCUGCGCCAGUGCCAUUAUUAAUUAUGAUUAAUUUGACUGUUUUGACUUCGAGGGAUUGGGGGAGGGGGGGCCACAGUCAUGGGGAGGAGAACUUCCCAUGGCCCAAGUUGCCAAGGUCCUGGGGAGUAAUUAAUUUGAUUGGCAGUAAACUCAUGGCAGUAUGAAAGUAAUUUUUUUUUUUUUUUGGUUUGGGGGGGGGGGGGGGGGGGGGGGGGGGGGGGGGGGGGGGGGGGGGGGGGGGGGGGGGGGGGGGG
ensembl:lncRNA